UACGUAGGGUGCGAGCGUUAAUCGGAAUUAUUGGGCGUAAAGCGCGCGCAGGCGGUCCUUUAAGUCUGAUGUGAAAGCCCACGGCUCAACCGUGGAGGGUCAUUGGAAACUGGGGGACUUGAGUGCAGAAGAGGAAAGCGGAAUUCCACGUGUAGCGGUGAAAUGCGUAGAUAUCGGGAGGAACACCAGUGGCGAAGGCGACUUCCUGGCCUGUUCUUGACGCUGAGGCGCGAAAGCUAGGGGAGCAAACGGG
rnacentral:rRNA from 1 species